AAGAAUCAUCAUUGAAGAAUGAAGAAGCGGUGCUGAUGAGGCGGCGCAGCAGGUGAUCACAUCCUCCCAUCACAACUCUUCACCCCCUCACCACCGAGAAGAACUGAUAAGGGUGCUGAGCAGCACUCAUCACCUCCUUUUGGGGGAAGAAAGUGAAGAAUCGUCCGCCGUCUUUUAUUACUCCACAAACUUAAAAUAUUGUGUAGAAGAAAUCAUCGCCGAUGAGUCGACGUAGUAUUACUACAAUCAUCAACAGAUGUUCUGGCUGUUGUAGCGUCGAUGAAGACAGCAGAGUAAUAUGAUUAGUAAGAAGAGCAGCAGACAUCAAAUCAUCGUAUCAUCGAAGACACCACGCUGUCCUCGGUAGUAUUACGAGCAGCCCGCCUGGAGGAUCGUCAUAAUAUUAUCUAUUCUGAUGAUUUUUGAAUAGUCGCAUGAGGAGGAGGAGGAGGUUACUAUGGUCGUCAUCGAUGAUCUCCUCCUAUAUACUUCAGUAGAUGAGCUUUUACUUGAUGCAAUGGUGUAAUAAUUAUCUUCACCGAUGUAACUAGUGAAAUAGGCUUGCUUCUAAUCGUCUCUUGACCGAGACAUUAUAAGAAAAAGGGCAACCUUUCUCUUUGACUCUCUGACCUCAAAUCAGGUAGAUA
rnacentral:rRNA from 1 species